UCCCUGGUGGAAUAGUGGCUAGCAUGUGAUGCUCUCAUUGCCUCAGUCCGGGUUUGAUUCCCGGUCAGGGGA